ensembl:misc_RNA Y_RNA Y RNA
GGCUGGUCCGAAGGUAGUGAAUUAUCUCACUUGAUUGUUCACAGUCAGUUACAGAUUGAACUCCUUGCUCUACUACUUUCCUCCCUUCUCACUACUGCACUUGACUGGUCAACA